rnacentral:rRNA from 1 species
GUAGUGGCAAGUGUUAUCCGGAAUUAUUGGGCGUAAAGCGCGCGCAGGUGGUUCUUUAAGUCUGAUGUGAAAGCCCCCGGGCUCAACCGGGGAGGGUCAUUGGAAACUGGGGAACUUGAGUGCAGGAGAGGAAAGUGGAAUUCCACGUGUAGCGGUGAAAUGCGUAGAUAUGUGGAGGAACACCAGUGGCGAAGGCGACUUUCUGGCCUGUAACUGACACUGAGGCGCGAAUGCGUGGGGAGCAAACAGGAUUAGAUACCCUGGUAGUCCACGCCGUAAACGAUGAGUGCUAAGUGUUGGGGGGUUUCCGCCCCUCAGUGCUGCAGCUAACGCAUUAAGCACUCCGCCUGGGGAGUACGGUCGCAAGACUG